GACCAACACGAACACAGCUGGCAACAUUGUUUCUCCUUCUUGAGUUCCACUAAGAUGUCUUGGCUCUCUCUGAGAAAGGUGGCUUGCCAAUGACCAAAAGGCCUCAUGUUGCUGCAAUUGCUGGGAAAGACACUAAUGCUAAAGGAUUUCACUAUGGAUGACGUGUGGGCCACACUUACCAUUGAGGACCUCAGUAAUAAGAGAGGGAAGGUACCAGUGGUGGUUUAGAUUGAGGCAUCUGCUUCGAAUUAUUGUAAUUAUUUUGGUUUUCUUGCCUUUCAGCGUCCAGGCCUAAGAUUGCAAAGCCUGGAGUCGGUGGACUUAUGACUGACAGAUCAUCCUUCAUCCCAAGAUCCAAACAGGCACUCCGAUAAACACACUCAGAUGCUUCCAACUCGCAAUGGAGCCACAGGUACAGCAGCAACGGCAUCUUAAAUGAUCGUUCCUGUCUUCAGCAGCAGCAGCAGCAGCAACAGCAAAUGGAGGUGCAGGUACAGUUAAGCAAUCAUCUACAGCACUGGACUCCAAUGGUGAAGCUUGGCAUCUUCACAGAGCAGAGGACUGUGAUACCUGGAAGCAGACAUGGCAGGAGCUUUGAAGUGCUUUUAAAUUACUGGCUAAUGGAGCUUUCAGUGCCGUGGGCCACACUCUCCUCCUGUGAUCCGUCAUCUCCAGCAAGCAAACUGGCUCUGCUGCAACGUCAGCCUCACUAAUAUGGGACAGUAAGCCAAUUUUUCUAGAUUUCCCUGGUGCUGUUAGCAAUUUGGAUUUGUCUCUGAGAGAGGCUACACAAGGCUUAGAAUAUCAAUUUAAAUUCCUGAACUAAAAACCUGUAAUAAAAAUCUGACUUUCAAGUGCUUCCA
rnacentral:lncRNA from 1 species